rnacentral:lncRNA from 1 species
GUCGAGGAUCCCUGGAAUUCUUCAGGGGUAAAGGGUUUUGAGCUUGGAAUUCUUCAGGGGUAAAGUGUUUUGAGCUUGGAAUUCUUCAGGGUAAAGUGUUUUGAGUUUGGAAUUCUUCAGGGGUAAAUGGUUUUGAGCUUGGAAUUCUUCAGGGGUAAAGGGUUUUGAGCUUGGAAUUCUUCAGGGGUGAAGAGGUUUGAGAUUGAAAUUUUUCAGAGCUUGGAAUUCUUCAGGGGUGAAGGGUUUUGAGCUUGGAAUUCUUCAGGGGUAAAAGGUUUUGAGCUUGAAAUUCUUCAGGGGUAAAGGGUUUUAAGCCUGGAAUUCUUUAGGGGUGAAGGGUUUUGAGCUUGGAAUUCUUCAGGGGUAAAAGGUUUUGAGCUUGGAAUUCUUCAGGGGUAAAGAGUUUUGAGCUUGGAAUUUUGGAAUUCUUCAGGGGUAAACAGUUUUGAGCUUGGAAUUCUUCAGGGUAUGACAAUGAAAAACAUGUAUCCUCGACAGGGGGGGUACGGAUAUUAAAUGGAAUAGCCCAUUCUUGGUCAUGAAAGGGCAAAGAAUAUUUUGCGUGUGGCUGAGCAAAAUUAAUAACCUUUCUUUUUUUAGCUUAGUUAGCUAGGUGGCCUAGUCCUUUGAAACCCUCCCUGUUUCUGCUGAUUCAGUUGGACAUUUAUAAUUAUAUUUACAAUAAACCUGGAUGUGUUUAUUAUUGGGAUGGUCUGACAUAUUGCCAGGAAAGUAGAAAAUGUUAUUUUGCAAAGUCUUGUGACAUAUAGUAUAUUAGUAUGUAGGAUAUUGCAGUAUUUAAAAGGCUUAUUUUAAUCAAUAUUAAGACAUGUUUAUAUGAUCCUGUCAGGUGGGAAACCUUGCCAGGCAGCUAGGAUGUCAUGUUUAUACAUGUUCGUGAGUGAGUUCAUCAAAUAUAUACAUGUAUUUUUGAACACAAGUUGAUAUGAUAGUCAGGAUCUUGG